rnacentral:misc_RNA from 1 species
CAAAAUAUAAUUCAGUGUAUAUUAAUACAUAUGCUGCCAAAGGGACAAGUCCAAAUGAAAUAAGAGAAGCUAACAGAAGAACAUAGAUGGAUGUGAUAAGAGGCCCCUUGAAUCUUGUUUCAUUGAUGAAUCUACUGAACAUGUGAUGAAGAUUCAUGGGCUCUUCGUCUUUGUAGAUCAUCGAUGCUACGUCCACUAUAGCAAUCGUGUUGAAGAAGUCUAUGAAAUAUAGGAUCCCAAG